UGGUUCAUUUGAUCGUACAGUUUACUUGGAUAACUGUGGUAAUUCUAGAGCUAAUACAUGCGAGAAGCGCCGACCUCGCGGGAGGCGUGCAUUUAUCAGACCAAAAACCGGCCGCGUCUUCGGGCGCGUUCGCCUUGGUGACUCUGGAUAACUUUGCGGAUCGCACGGUCUAGCACCGGCGACGGAUCAUUCAAGUGUCUGCCCUAUCAACUUUCGUCGGUACGGUAUUUGCCUACCGAGGUUCUUACGGGUGACGGGGAAUCAGGGUUCGAUUCCGGGGGAGAGGGGUGCAAGUCCCCAUCCAGGGAAGGCACCGGGGCCUGUUACCCCCCACCCAUCCAAGGAAGGCAGCUUGCGCGCAAAUUACCCAUUCCCGACGCGGGGAGGUAGUGACGAAAAAUAACAAUGCAGGACUCGUUCGAGGCCCUGUAAUUGGAAUGAGUACACUUUAAAAGCUUUAACGAGUAUCCAUUGGAGGGCAAGUCUGGUGCCAGCAGCCGCGGUAAUUCCAGCUCCAAAAGUAUAUAUUUAAGUUGUUGCGGUUAAAAAGCUCGUAGUUGGAUUUUGGGCGCAGGCGGCCGGUCCGUCGCAAGGCGUGUACUGGACGUCCUGGCCUUCCCUCCGGUUCUCCGCCGGUGCUCUUGACUGAGUGUCGGCGGCGGCCGGAACGUUUACUUUGAAAAAAUUAGAGUGUUCAAAGCAGGCUCUCGAGCCUGGAUAAUGGUGCAUGGAAUAAUGGAAUAGGACCUCGGUUCUAUUUUGUUGGUUUUCGGAGCGCGAGGUAAUGAUUAAGAGGGACAGACGGGGGCAUUCGUACUGUGCCGUUAGAGGUGAAAUUCUUGGAUCGGCGCAAGACGAACGACUGCGAAAGCAUUUGCCAAGAAUGUUUUCUUUAAUCAAGAGCGAAAGUCAGAGGUUCGAAGACGAUCAGAUACCGUCCUAGUUCUGACUAUAAACGAUGCCAACUAGCGAUCGGGGGGCGUUACAUUGACCACCCCUCCGGCAGCUUACGGGA
rnacentral:ncRNA from 1 species